CAGAGCAGUUGCCUAAAGAAAGAGUAAACAUAGACUUCUGGACUGUGGUGAAUUGCUUGGCUGGCUUGUUAGGAACCUGAAAGAAGCAACAUUGGAAGAUCAGGGACAAAGAACUUUGGAGAAAAGGCUGUGCAGGAAACACAGCAGCAUCUGCUUCUGGGGAGGCCUCAAGGAGCUUACCAUCAUGGCAGAAGGCAAGCGGGGAGCCAGCACUCCACGUGGCCAGAGCAGAAGGAAGAGAGAGUGAGGCAGGAGGUGCUACUCACUUUUAAACAACGAGAUCUCAUGAGAACUCUAUCACAAGAACAGCACCAAAGGGAUGGUACUAAACCAUUCAUGAGGACUCCACCCCACAGUCCAAUCACCUCCCACCAGGCCCCGCCUCCAACACUGGGGAUUACAAUUUGACGUGACGUUUGGUGGGGACACAGAUCCAAACCAUAUCAUAGGGGUUCAUCAUACUCUUCUGCCUCCACUUUUUACCUAAUAUAAAUUCCCCAC
rnacentral:lncRNA from 1 species